rnacentral:rRNA from 1 species
GAUGUACGCUGACAGAAUGCUUAACACAUGCAAGUCCACUUGAACUUCGGUUUGGGUGGCGGACGGGUGAGUAACGCGUAAAGAACUUGCCUCACAGCUAGGGACAACAUUUGGAAACGAAUGCUAAUACCUGAUAUUAUGAUUAUAUGGCAUCGUAUAAUUAUGAAAGCUAUAUGCGCUGUGAGAGAGCUUUGCGUCCCAUUAGCUAGUUGGAGAGGUAACAGCUCACCAAGGCGAUGAUGGGUAGCCGGCCUGAGAGGGUGAUCGGCCACAAGGGGACUGAGACACGGCCCUUACUCCUACGGGAGGCAGCAGUGGGGAAUAUUGGACAAUGGACCGAGAGUCUGAUCCAGCAAUUCUGUGUGCACGAUGAAGUUUUUCGGAAUGUAAAGUGCUUUCAGUUGGGAAGAAAAAAAUGACGGUACCAACAGAAGAAGUGACGGCUAAAUACGUG